UACGUAGGCAGCGAGCGUUGUUCGGAGUUACUGGGCGUAAAGGGUGUGUAGGCGGUUGUUUAAGUUUGGUGUGAAAUCUCCCGGCUCAACUGGGAGGGUGCGCCGAAUACUGAAUGACUUGGAGUGCGGGAGAGGAAAGUGGAAUUCCUGGUGUAGCGGUGAAAUGCGUAGAGACCCGGAGGAACACCAGUGGCGAAGGCGGCUUCCUGGUCUGCAACUGACGCUGUGGCGCGAAGCUAGGGGAGCAAACAGG
rnacentral:rRNA from 1 species